rnacentral:snoRNA from 1 species
UUGCACUGUUCGUAACCUUUUGACAGCAUAUUUCUGUGAAUAGGUUCCAUUCCAGUGCUAUAUGAAAUCCAAUAAUGGAAGGCUGACAAAUUCCAUGUCCCUUCUGUAUUUGGAGACAAAA